UACGUAGGUGGCAAGCGUUGUCCGGAUUUAUUGGGUUUAAAGGGUGCGUAGGCGGCUUUGUAAGUCAGUGGUGAAAUACUCUAGCUUAACUAGAGGGGUGCCAUUGAUACUGCGGAGCUUGAGCACAGAUGAGGUAGGCGGAAUUGACGGUGUAGCGGUGAAAUGCAUAGAUAUCGUCAAGAACACCGAUAGCGAAGGCAGCUUACUGGGCUGUAACUGACGCUGAUGCACGAAAGUGUGGGGAUCAAACAGG
rnacentral:rRNA from 1 species